rnacentral:rRNA from 1 species
UAGGGAAUAUUGCAAAAUGGGCGAAAGCCCGAUGCAGCAACGCCGCGUAGGCGAUGAAGGCCUUCGGGUCGUAAAGCCCUUUUUGAGGGGAUGAGGAAGGACAGUACCCUCAGAAUAAGCCUCGGCUAACUACGUGCCAGCAGCCGAGGUAAAACGUAGGAGGCGAGCGUUAUCCGGAUUUACUGGGCGUAAAGCGCGUGCAGGCGGAUUGGAGAGUUGGAUGUGAAAGCUCCCGGCUUAACUGGGAGAGGUCGUUCAAUACUUCCAGGAUUGAGUGCAGUAGAGGGAAGUGGAAUUCCGGGUGUAGUGGUGAAAUGCGUAGAUAUCCGGAGGAACACCAGUGGCGAAAGCGGCUUCCUGGACUGUAACUGACGCUCAGACGCGAAAGCUAGGGUAGCAAACG